AACGAACGCUGGCGGCAUGCCUAACACAUGCAAGUCGAACGAGACCUUCGGGUCUAGUGGCGCAUGGGUGCGUAACGUGUGGGAACUUGCCCUUAGGUUCGGAAUAACUUCCCGAAAGGGGUGCUAAUACCGGAUAAUGUCCUCGGACCAAAGAUUUAUCGCCUUUGGUUGGGCCCGCGUUGGAUUAGCUAGUUGGUAGGGUAAAAGCCUACCAAGGCGACGAUCCAUAGCUGGUCUGAGAGGAUGAUCAGCCACACUGGGACUGAGACACGGCCCAGACUCCUACGGGAGGCAGCAGUGGGGAAUAUUGGACAAUGGGCGAAAGCCUGAUCCAGCAAUGCCGCGUGAGUGAUGAAGGCCUUAGGGUUGUAAAGCUCUUUUACCCGGGAUGAUAAUGACAGUACCGGGAGAAUAAGCUCCGGCUAACUCCGUG
rnacentral:rRNA from 1 species